UAGUCAUUCUUUGUUCUACGUUCCCUGGAAGGAUAACAAAAUGUAAGUUCCAAUUCAUGCUCUCUAUGCUUAUACAAAAUAAAAUAUUUAGCAACAUCUAAACUAAGAGUCUAACAAUCUAGUUAAAGAUUUACACAUGUGCUAUAGACAUGGACUUGAAAUGAUCUAAAGACAUAGACUCACAAAGAGCUAAAAACAUUGACUAAAGUACUAAAGAUGUAGAAUUGAAAUGAUCAAAGACAUAGAUUUACAAUGUUCGAUUGACAUGGACUUACAAAUCUGCUGCAGCCAUAGUUUUAAAAUGCUUUGAAGAUAUAGAUUUACAAUGUUCUCUAGACAUACUUUUACAAAUGCGCCACAGAGAUAAUUUUAAAAUGUGCUUAAGACAAGCUUAAAAUUUUACGAUUGAAUAUGCAAAUAAACUUAAAAUACGCUAUAAUCAUACGCUUGAAAUUUGCUGUAUGAAUAUUUAUACAAUAAUCAUAGAAUGUGCUACAGACACACACUUACACUGUGCUAUAAUAUCGAUAACAGGCCACUGUUGUUGACACUGUGAG